rnacentral:rRNA from 1 species
AAUCGUAGAUCAGCAUGCUACGGUGAAUACGUUCCCGGGUCUUGUACACACCGCCCGUCACACCACGAGAGUUUGUAACACCCGAAGCCGGUGGAGCAACCACUUUGUGGAGCUAGCCGUCGAAGGUGGGACAAAUGAUUGGGGUGAAGUCGUAACAAGGUAGCCGUAUCGGAAGGUGCGGCUGGAUCACCUCCUUU